rnacentral:tRNA from 111 species
GGCCGGGUAGCUCAGUUGGUAGAGCAGGGGAUUGAAAAUCCCCGUGUCGGCGGUUCGAUUCCGUCCCCGGCCACCA